AGCUUUGCACAGUGGCAGUAUCGUAGCCAGUGAGGUUUAUCUGAGGGGCGAUUAUUGCUAAUUGAAAACUUUUCCUAAUACCCCACCAUGAUGACUUGCAAUAUAGUCAGCAUUGGCAAUAAAAAAAUAAAUAAAUA
ensembl:snRNA U4 U4 spliceosomal RNA